rnacentral:rRNA from 1 species
CACGAACCGUCCAAACGUUAUUCGGAAUCACUGGGCUUAAAGGGUGCGUAGGCGGCGUUUUAAGUAAGGUGUGAAAUCCCACGUCUCAACCGUGGAACUGCGCUUUAUACUGGAAUGCUUGAGUAAGAUAGAGGUAAGCGGAACUGAUAGUGGAGCGGUGAAAUGCGUUGAUAUUAUCAGGAACACCAGUGGCGAAGGCGGCUUACUGGGUCUUAACUGACGCUGAUGCACGAAAGCUAGGGUAG